GAUCCUGGCUCAGGAUGAACGCUAGCUACAGGCUUAACACAUGCAAGUCGAGGGGCAGCAUGAUUGAAGCUUGCUUCAAUUGAUGGCGACCGGCGCACGGGUGAGUAACACGUAUCCAACCUUCCGUACACUCAGGGAUAGCCUUUCGAAAGAAAGAUUAAUACCUGAUGGUAUCUUAAGCACACAUGUAAUUAAGAUUAAAGAUUCAUCGCUGAUAGAUAGG
rnacentral:rRNA from 1 species